rnacentral:rRNA from 1 species
ACAGCAGUAGCCGCGGUAAUACGUAGGUGGCAAGCGUUGUCCGGAAUUAUUGGGCGUAAAGGGCUCGCAGGCGGUUUCUUAAGUCUGAUGUGAAAACCCCCGGCUCAACCGGGGAGGGUCAUUGGAAACUGGGAAACUUGAGUGCAGAAGAGGAGAGUGGAAUUCCACGUGUAGCGGUGAAAUGCGUAGAGAUGUGGAGGAACACCAGUGGCGAAGGCGACUCUCUGGUCUGUAACUGACGCUGAGGAGCGAAAGCGUGGGGAGCGAACAGGAUUAGAUACCCGGGUAGUCCCUGUCUCUUAUAC